GCAGCCGCCGCGGGAAUACGGAGGGUGCAAGCGUUAAUCGGAAUUACUGGGCGUAAAGCGCACGCAGGCGGUCUGUCAAGUCAGAUGUGAAAUCCCCGGGCUUAACCUGGGAACUGCAUUUGAAACUGGCAGGCUAGAGUCUUGUAGAGGGGGGUAGAAUUCCAGGUGUAGCGGUGAAAUGCGUAGAGAUCUGGAGGAAUACCGGUGGCGAAGGCGGCCCCCUGGACAAAGACUGACGCUCAGGUGCGAAAGCGUGGGGAGCAAACAGGAUUAGAUACCCGGGUAGUCCCUGUCUCUUAUAA
rnacentral:rRNA from 1 species